CGGCCCAGGUAAGUCCCUUGGGAAAUCUGGCAGCUCAACUGUCAGGCUGCUAGGGGAUACUGUUUGGCUUGGGACCGGGAGAGGUGAGAGGUACCUUGGGGGUAGGGGUGAAAUCUUGUGAUCCUCGGGGGACCACCAGUGGCGAAGGCGUCUCACCAGAACGGGUCCGACGGUAAGGGACGAAAGCUAGGGGCACGAACCGGAUUAGAUACCCGGGUAGUCCUAGCCGUAAACGAUGCUCGCUAGGUGUCAGUCACGGUGCGACCGUGAUUGGUGCCGUAGGGAAGCCGUGAAGCGAGCCACCUGGGAAGUAUGGCCGCAAGGCUGAAACUUAAAGGAAUUGGCGGGGGAGCACUACAACGGGUGGAGCCUGCGGUUUAAUUGGAUUCAACGCCGGAAAUCUCACCGGGGGCGACAGCGAUAUGAAGGUCAGGCUGAAGACCUUACCCGAUUAGCUGAGAGGUGGUGCA
rnacentral:rRNA from 1 species